UACGUAGGAGGCGAGCGUUGUCCGGAGUUACUGGGCGUAAAGCGUGUGCAGGCGGCCUGACGCGUCCCGGCUGAAAUCUCCCGGCUUAACUGGGAGGGGGGUCGGGAAACGGUCCGGCUUGAGGACUCGAGAGGGAAGUAGAACUCCCGGUGGACCAGUGAAAUGGGUAGAGAUCGGGAAGAAUACCAGAGGUGCAGACGGCUUCCUGGCGAGGACCUGACGCUCAGACACGAAGGCGUGGGGAG
rnacentral:rRNA from 1 species